GAUGAAGAACGCAGCAAAAUGCGAUAAGUAAUGUGAAUUGCAGAAUUCAGUGAAUCAUCGAAUCUUUGAACGCACAUUGCGCCCGCCAGUAUUCUGGCGGGCAUGCCUGUUCGAGCGUCAUUUCAACCCUCAAGCACAGCUUGGUGUUGGGACUCGCGUUAAUUCGCGUUCCUCAAAUUGAUUGGCGGUCACGUCGAGCUUCCAUAGCGUAGUAGUAAAACCCUCGUUACUGGUAAUCGUCGCGGCCACGCCGUUAAACCCCAACUUCUGAAUGUUGACCUCGGAUCAGGUAGGAAUACCCGCUGAACUCAAGCAUAUCAAUAAGCGGAGGA
rnacentral:misc_RNA from 1 species